rnacentral:SRP_RNA from 1 species
CGGCGGGCUAGGCCGGGGGGUUCGGCGUCCCCUGUAACCGGAAACCGUCGAUAUGCCGGGGCCGAAGCCCGGGGGGCGGUUCCCAAAGCCGCCCGUGGAAGCCGGGGUGCAACGGUGAUCCCUCGUCCCGGGGGGCCGGCGGUGGGCGGGGCGGAGCUGGAGGGCUCCGCUAACGCCCUUUACCCGC